rnacentral:rRNA from 1 species
UACGUAGGGUGCGAGCGUUGUCCGGAAUUACUGGGCGUAAAGAGCUCGUAGGCGGCUUGUCGCGUCUGCUGUGAAAACUCGGGGCUUAACUCCGGGCCUGCAGUGGGUACGGGCAGACUAGAGUGCGGUAGGGGAGACUGGAAUUCCUGGUGUAGCGGUGAAAUGCGCAGAUAUCAGGAGGAACACCGGUGGCGAAGGCGGGUCUCUGGGCCGUAACUGACGCUGAGGAGCGAAAGCGUGGGGAGCAAACAGG